rnacentral:rRNA from 1 species
AUUGAACGCUGGCGGCAGGCCUAACACAUGCAAGUCGAGCGGAUGAAGGGAGCUUGCUCCUGGAUUCAGCGGCGGACGGGUGAGUAAUGCCUAGGAAUCUGCCUGGUAGUGGGGGAUAACGUCCGGAAACGGGCGCUAAUACCGCAUACGUCCUGAGGGAGAAAGUGGGGGAUCUUCGGACCUCACGCUAUCAGAUGAGCCUAGGUCGGAUUAGCUAGUUGGUGGGGUAAAGGCCUACCAGGGCGACGAUCCGUAACUGGUCUGAGAGGAUGAUCAGUCACACUGGAACUGAGACACGGUCCAGACUCCUACGGGAGGCAGCAGUGGGGAAUAUUGGACAAUAGGCGAAAGCCUGAUCCAGCCAUGCCGCGUGUGUGAAGAAGGUCUUCGGAUUGUAAAGCACUUUAAGUUGGGAGGAAGGGCAGUAAGUUAAUACCUUGCUGUUUUGACGUUACCAACAGAAUAAGCACCGGCUAACUUCGUG